rnacentral:rRNA from 1 species
CCUACGGGUGGCAGCAGUAGGGAAUCUUUCACAAUGGGCGAAAGCCUGAUGGCGCAACGCCGCGUGCAGGAUGCAGGCCUUCGGGUUGUAAACUGCUUUUAUAAGCGAGAAAUAUGAUGGUAACUUAUGAAUAAGGAUCGGCUAACUACGUGCCAGCAGCCGCGGUCAUACGUAGGAUCCGAGCAUUAUCCGGAGUGACUGGGUGUAAAGAGUUGCGUAGGUGGCAUAAUAAGUAGCUAGUGAAAUCUGGUGGCUCAACCAUUCAGACUAUUAGCUAAACUGUUAAGCUCGAGACCGUUAGGGGUAACUGGAAUUUCUAGUGGAGGAGUGAAAUCCGUAGAUAUUAGAAGGAACACCAAUAGCGUAGGCAGGUUGCUGGGACGGUUCUGACACGAAGGCACGAAAGCGUAGGGAGCAAACGGGAUUAGAUACCCCAGUAGUC